CAGGUGGAUCUCUGUGAGUUUGAGGCCAGCCUGAUCUAUAAAACGAGUUCCAGGACAGCUAGAGCUACAUAGUGAAACCCUGUCUCAAAACAACAACAACAACAACAACAAAAAAGAGUAGUUUGAAGGAUAGUUAUUUUGAUGGUUUCCUAAUCUUGUUUUGUUUUCUAGACAGGGUUUCUCUGUGCAACAUCCCUGGCUGUCCUGGAACUCACAGAGAUCCACUUGCUUCUGCCUCUGGGAUUAAAGGCAUGUUCCACCACUGUGGGGCCCCUAAUCUUUUCAGUGAUCUUGUAUUAAGGGACUUGAAAUAAUCCUUUUAGCAAAUAGUUGCCUCACACUUUCUACAUUGGAGGAAUCAAUACAGUGCUUGUAGAAAAUGUUGUAUCAACGUUCUGUCUAUUGUCUAGUUUCAAGUAUUCCAUUAGCACUCAGGAAAAUGAUGUGUGUGUGUAUGUAUAUUCAUUUCCAGCUUAAGAACCACAUGUGCUCUUGAAAGGGCUAAAUUUAAGCCAGGAAACCAGAUUUAAGAAUAGGAAGUUUUAGCCAGGUGGUGGCGGCGGCGGUGGCGCAUGCCUUUAAUCCCAGCACACGGGAGGCAGAGGCAGGUGGAUCUGAGUUCAAGGCCAGCCUGGUUUCCAGAGCAAGUGCCCAGAUAGGCUCCAAAGCUACACAGAGAAACCCUGUCUCAAAAAAAACAAAAAAUAUGAAAGAAGUCUGAUUGUGUUUUGGAAAAUUCAGGAAGUGAGCAUGUAUUUAAAUCAUUAUUGCAAAUUGGAAUAAAACCAUAUAUUACUAGAGUUCAGCUAUGAACAACACAAGUCACUGAACAAGUUUUAAGUGGCAUCAGCAAGGAUGAGCUAAAUUACCAGCAAUCCGGUUUUUACCUUAUUUACAUGUUUAUCAAAUCAAAUUAAUUUUUCUUCCAACAAAAGGGCUCAUUGUGGCCUUACGCCAGGCUCCCCAGAUCCCUUUAGUAAGCGCUGAGUGCCCAUGCUGAGACUAGACUCUUGAGCCUGGUGCUUGUUAACUGCUGUAUCUAAAGCAAUGAUUAAACUCAGAUUUGCUUAAUGGUUAAGUCUCUUCGUUUUAACCCAGCUAUGUUAGACAUUAAAGAAGGCUUUCUCUCAGUCCAUAUGCAUCUGCUUUGUCUGGUGGUUUCUGUCAUCCUGGAAAGACUGACUUAUUGGUGAGGGCAGCUGGACAACUCUGAGACAACUUAGAACAAUACAUCUUGGGCACACUCCAAGGACUUCUCUGGAGAUAGUGCCUCAUGUUUAAGUGCAGAAAACAGGACACCUUCCUGGACCUACUGCUUCCUGCUUCCAGCACCCUGAUGCCUGAAGUGUGUAGAAUUUGACAACAGUAUCGAGAGCUGAGGAGAGAGAGAAGAUGGAAAGGAGUCUAGCAAGUAAAAAAUGUCGUAGCAUUCUCUGUGUGGUGACCUUUUUCCUGUUGGUGGCUCGAUUUGUUUAGGAGCUAAAGAAGAUGCGACCUCUACCAGCACAUCAUGUCGUACUUGAGUUUGUCAAACAUUGCCCCCUGCCUACUUUGUAUGCUACAGUUUGCUUCCCAUGUUCAGCACUGACUCACUGUUUCCUGGCAAUAUUUGAAACCCUGCAUGGCCACCAUCGGUCCUGAAAGACUGGCUUCUUAUAGGAGUGGGAGGUUCAGGGCUUAUUCAUGGAAAUCUGGUCUAUUUACAAAACAGUUUUCACAGAAGAGAAGUAGAUGUGUUCCAGAUAAAAAGUUGAUUAAAUCAUUCUAUAUGGUGUGUUAUUAAUUAAAAUUUCAACUAGUUUUUUCGUCUUA